UUGGUGUAUAGAAUGUGGGUGAAACUGAGCCCUAAUCCUCGUGCAUCCAGGGUUGAUGUCGAAUUAAAAUUUUGUAUUGAUUUUGUUCAAUUUUGAGUUAAAAUUAAUGGUUUAAGUUUCAAGACCGUGAAUAAUCUCUUGCAGAGAAUUGAGGCAACUCAAUUGAUUUAGAAAUUUGAGCCUGUGUUUGAUCAACUGAUCAAAUUUGGUGAGCCCGAUCUCUCUACUUCACCCACUCACUUUAAUCUUCUUUGAAAUUUAUUUAAGCAACACAGUCAUACUUCAAAUUUAUGAUCCAUACAAAACAAUUCUCGCAACUACUUUCUGCGAUGGAAAUUAUUACUGACAAGGUCGAUUUAUUGAAGUAGCAAACUGCUACAUAUGACACGACCUACAGAGA